AACGAACGCUGGCGGCAGGCUUAACACAUGCAAGUCGAGCGCCCCGCAAGGGGAGCGGCAGACGGGUGAGUAACGCGUGGGAACGUACCCUUUACUACGGAAUAGCUCCGGGAAACUGGAAUUAAUACCGUAUGUGCCCUUCGGGGGAAAGAUUUAUCGGUAAAGGAUCGGCCCGCGUUGGAUUAGCUAGUUGGUGGGGUAAAGGCCUACCAAGGCGACGAUCCAUAGCUGGUCUGAGAGGAUGAUCAGCCACAUUGGGACUGAGACACGGCCCAAAGCCCUACGGGAGGCAGCGGUGGGGAAUAUUGGACAAUGGGCGCAAGCAUGAUCCAGCCAUGCCGCGUGAGUGAUGAAGGCCUUAGGGUUGUAAAGCUCUUUCACCGAUGAAGAUAAUGACGGUAGUCGGAGAAGAAGCCCCGGCUAACUUCGUGCCAGCCGCCGCUGUAAAAC
rnacentral:rRNA from 1 species